GCAAAAACAAACAGUUCCAAGUUCGAGCCUGAAACCAUAAGAGCAUGCUGAAAAGCCUUCCUCCUUUCCAUCACCAGCAGAUGUGAAGGAAAUUGCAAUCCUCUAUCUGCAGCCUGAAAAGCAUGUUGCCAUGGAAAUGAUGCUUACGCUUUCGUAAAUAAAAGUAUUCUCGGGUCACAAAGGUCUGCAGCAUAAACAGGAGCACAAACACUGCCUGGAGAAGUGCCAGAGUGGCUUAAACAUAUAGGAAGAUAAUUUUAAUGGUGUUUUACUUUCACUGUUAUCAUCAGAAGGACUGAUGAAGGUUAACAUGUAGCUACAACCUUGGCACGAAAACAAAGCAGAGAAACAUCUUACCUAUUGGUAUUAAUAGGAGUACUGAAAGCGGUAUCAUAGCCCUCCUGACUGGUCUUCCUCUGCUCUAUUGGAUCAAUGUUUCUCUCCCUUUCUCCGCACACUGAAGUGGGAUGCAUGCAUACACUUAACCACAGACAGCUUUACCGAAUUCAUCAGCACAGCCCAGGACAUGAGGAAAAGUGGGUAAUGUUACAAAAAGCUGUAUCAUGGACUAUCUGAUCGUGUUGUAUUUAAAGGCAAAACUUUGUCAAACGAAGUCACCUUGAGAGGAUGCGAUGGGCUUUUCUUCACCUAGAAGACAAGCUGGGAACUGCAGGCAAAGAAGGGUGGGCUGGUUGGGAUGGCAGGGUGCCAGCUAACCUUCCAUUGGGAAACUGAGGCAUGACAGCUUCUAUCCUCACUACAGCACUUCUAUACUCACCCACAGUCUAACAGACACACUCUCCAUUUACUCCAUGUGUCUGCUAUUCCAUCCCCAGGCCCUGAGCUGUACAGCCAGAGCUUGGGGCAAUGCAGGGCCACCUGCUCAGCUCCAUGCUUCCAGGCAAAGUGCUUUGUGUUCAGCACGUGUGUGAACACCUGCAGUUUGGUGUCUUAAUCGGGGGCUGAAAUAAUGGAAAAAUAGCAGAAGUGGGAGUGAACACAGAGGCCAACAGCAGAGACUGGGAUGCAUGAGUUUGUGUGAAUCUUUGAGAGGAAAGCAGGCAGUUACUGUUUCUGGUGGGUUCUUAAUUGUUCAAUGGACUGCUCAAUGGCAUUAAAUGGGCCAUACUGUGAAGCUGCCUUGGGCAGUAUCAGUUCAAGGAUACGUGCUUUACUCCUUGUACUUUUAAUAUCCAUACAGGCAUUCAGAGCAGACAGUCACUUUAAAUAAAACUACAGAGAUUGCAAAUGCCACGGCUUGCUUAUUUACUUACUGCAUCUCAGUCUGCCCAAAAUGUGGAAAUAAUGUUUCCAGAGAUGCUGGAAUUCAUCUGUCUGUUGAGGAUCCUGGCUCCUGUCCUGAAUGAUACUGCAUAUUCAGGGGAUGAUUCAUUCACUCCCGAGCGGGAGGAAGGGCUGUACCAGCUGUACCACCUCUCCGCUCCGAUUGACGGCGGUGAUGCUCCCACGGGGAAGCUGUGCCUCCAGGUUCAGCCAGCAAUUACAGAACAAACAAAGGAGAAGUGGAAUGGAGAAAUGAUUCACGGGAAUAGGAACCAAAAGAGAACCGGGAGGUGAUGCCAAGCCGGGCUGACCGUAAAACUUUCAUUUCUUUCUGCUGAAAAUGUGCGGUCAGGAUUGUGCAUCUCUUUGGUGUGUAAAUGAAUGGUGUCCUUUGCCAUCUGUAAGGGAGGAUCCAGGAGAGAGAAAUGGCUUUGAGGACUUUGAGCCUGCAAAAGGAUGGGAAGCUUCAAGCCAACAGCACGGAAAGACACAGCCUGGUGACCCUGAUGGCUCCAUCAGCUAUCUGAAAUAAACUUUCAUAUUUCAAUGUAAAAAAAAAAGCGCUGUCCCUGCUGGGAUGGGAACUGUGUGGGAUACGGACGGUGCCAGGCACGUUACACGCCUCGCCGUGGAUUUAGCACAGAGGGGUUGGGCAGCUGACGGCUCCCAGCCGGCACAAGGCUCGCUCGCAUGGCUCGCAUGGGAACAGGGUGGGAAAAGUGGGCUCAAAGUUUGCCCAGAAUGACCAAGAGAGGAAAAAUUCCUCCUGCCACUCCUCUGCUAAUCAAAGGGGUGUGGAGGGGAAGUUUUGAUCUCUUGUGUCCCGCAUUGCCAAGCAGAAAAUAAACACGUAUUUUAUACGCUAAAUACAAGGCCAAUUCCCAUAUUAAGGAAGAAGCCUCCAUGCAAUCAAAAUCAGACUUGAAAUCUAUCUCGCCUGUGGUGUAUUAGGUUGCUGGAAAUGGAGCCAGAUGUUCCAAACUCCCUCAAAACAGCCUCCAACCACACCUCAUCAGCUGCUCCAG
ensembl:lncRNA